UGUGAGCAGACGUUGAACUCGCCUCCUCCCAUGAACACAACCAGGUUACAACAAUUUUAGGAAGAAUCACGCUGGAUUGAAAACUGAAAACUGGAUAAAAAGAACCCCCACAACAAGGGACAGUCCUGACGAAAGCAGAAGAGGCAGCAACUCCGGCAGGAGAGGAAAAAAGCCACCUUUGGGAGCAGCGGAGCUUCUCAGCUGGCCAGGCGGGAGCCACUCUAAGCAGUGUGUUGGAACUACUCUACUGGAGUCCUGGACUUUCACAAAGGCUCUCUCGGCUGUUGGUGAUUGUCAAAUUUCACGUUCUCCAGGGAUUCCCAGACCACGUUGACAGGGCCUGAAACCAGUUCAUGGGUCACUGCAGGGUUGACAGCCAGGACCAAGAAAAAGAAAUACUCAAGUACAUUAUAAUGGCUCAUUAUUUUUAAAGUGAAAACUUU
rnacentral:lncRNA from 1 species